UACAGAGGUCUCAAGCGUUGUUCGGAUUCAUUGGGCGUAAAGGGUGCGUAGGUGGCAUGGUAAGUCGGAUGUGAAAUCCCGGGGCUCAACCCCGGAACUGCAUUCGAUACUGCUGCGCUAGAGUACUGGAGAGGAGAUUGGAAUUUACGGUGUAGCAGUGAAAUGCGUAGAUAUCGUAAGGAAGACCAGUGGCGAAGGCGGAUCUCUGGACCAGUUCUGACACUGAUGAGCGAAAGCCAGGGGAGCAAACAGG
rnacentral:rRNA from 1 species